GCUGGGCAUGGUGGCGCAUGCCUGUAGUCCCAGCUACUCGGAGGCUGAGGCAGGAGAAUUGCUUGAACCCGGGAGGCAGAUGUUGCAGUGCGCCAAUAUCGCGCCACUGCACUCCAGCCUGGGCAAUGGAGCAAGACUCUGUCUCAA
rnacentral:SRP_RNA from 2 species